GUGUUGCUCAGGCAGCACAUCUAAUAAAUUGGAUUCGAUAAAGAAGAUUAGCAUGGCACCCUGCAAAAGGAUGACACGCACAAUCGUGAAGCGUAUCCAAUUUUG
rnacentral:snRNA from 1 species